UACGUAGGGGGCAAGCGUUGUCCGGAAUUAUUGGGCGUAAAGAGCGCGUAGGCGGUCCGAUAAGUCGGCUGUGAAAGUCAGGGGCUCAACCCUUGAAAGCCGGCCGAUACUGUCGGACUAGAGUCCGGAAGAGGCAAGUGGAAUUCCCGGUGUAGCGGUGAAAUGCGCAGAUAUCGGGAGGAACACCAGUAGCGAAGGCGGCACUCUGGGCCGGAACUGACGCUGAGGAGCGAAAGCGUGGGUAGCAAACAGG
rnacentral:rRNA from 1 species